GUCUGUCUGUGAUGGUGAGAGGAGGAGAGACUGAUGACGCUCCGUGGUCUGAGAGGAAGAAUAAAGCUCCAGACUUUCAGAAGACGCUUUUCAAAACAAAAGAAAAAUCACAGGAAAUGACCAAUACGUGAAAGAAAACAAUCAAGUUUAAAGUCCUUGAACAGUAAUGAAUAACUUAUGUUAUUAGUUCUUAAGAAGAUUUUUCUACUUAAAAUGUUAGUGUUUUGCCAUAGAAGCUAGCACAGGGGUGGGCAAACUAUGGCCAUUUCUAACCAUGAAACUAUUAUCUGGCCAGCCAAACUGGAGUAAAUCACGCUGAUAAUACUUAAUGUUUUAUUUUCUAGUGUGUCCCCAUAGAUGGUGAACUAAAAAUUACCGUAACUGACCUUUGUUUAGGUGCAGAAAGUUAUUCUGCAUUGAUGUUGGAAGAUUUGUGGGAUUUUUUUCAUGUUCAUGUGUGUUUUCCAAGUCCGGCAGUCAUUUUUCCGAUCAUUCCUACGCCACAUGAACGCAGCAUUUCUCUAAGUUGCAUUUUUCCCUGAGGGACAUCAACCCAUCAAUGCAAUCGGCACCAAAAUUAGAACAAAAGCCACAGUUUUUAAAUAAAAACUCCAAAAUGUUCUGUUUUAAAAUAUAUACAUUUAUUUUUAUUCAAAAUGAAAGCAUAUUUUUGUCCAGACUCCAUGGUAUUGUCUUAUGAAGUGGAUUACCAAAACACGCAUCUGAUCUGCUUUUGGUCCGGCCCCUUUGCCAAAUUUUAGAAUUCAUUGUGGCCCAUGAGUCUAUAAAUUUGCCCGCUCCUGAGCUAGCAGAAUUAUUUUUUAGCAUUUUUUAUAAGCUACAUCUGUAUUGUUCAUUGUUUUGUUGAAUAAAUCCUUACACCUGAA